rnacentral:tRNA from 1 species
UAGCCUAGUGGUUAAGGCUAUGGAUUGCCAAUCCGGAGAAGGUGGGUUCGAUUCUCGU